rnacentral:lncRNA from 13 species
GUCGAGAUGAGGUGCGCCCGCGUCGCGCCGCGCGCGCCUCGCGCACCGAAGCACUCUCCAACUCUGCCUAUCUGAUAUGGGAUCUGGAGGACGCGCUCCGCUUUCGGCUUAUUUGCCGAAAGUACGAUAUUCUGUAGUAUGUACACUGGAGUGAAGAGCUAAUGGUAUACCUUUAUUCUUCUACAAUCAGCUAUUACGUAAAAAUCACAUUUAAUCUUCCAGAGUUUACGUUGGGUCUAUAUGCACCAUUCAUCAUUAAUCUUGGAUAUUGUUAUUAAAAUAAACUUAAUUAGUGUCCAUUCUUA